rnacentral:rRNA from 1 species
AUACGUAGGGGGCGAGCGUUGUCCGGAAUGAUUGGGCGUAAAGGGCGCGUAGGCGGCCUGUUAAGUCUGGAGUGAAAGUCCUGCUUUCAAGGUGGGAAUUGCUUUGGAUACUGCCGCGCUUGAGUGCAGGAGAGGUUAUCGGAAUUCCCGGUGUAGCGGUGAAAUGCGUAGAGAUCGGGAGGAACACCAGUGGCGAAGGCGGGUAACUGGACUGCAACUGACGCUGAGGCGCGAAAGUGUGGGGAGCAAACAGGAUUAGAUACCCUGGUAGUCCACACUGUAAACGAUGAAUGCUAGGUGUAAGAGGUAUCGACCCCUUUUGUGCCGGAGUCAACACAAUAAGCAUUCCGCCUGGGGAGUACGGCCGCAAGGUUGAAACUCAAAUGAAUUGACGGGG